GAACGGACGAGAAGCUUGCUUCUCUGAUGUUAGCGGCGGACGGGUGAGUAACACGUGGAUAACCUACCUAUAAGACUGGGAUAACUUCGGGAAACCGCAGCUAAUACCGGAUAAUAUUUUGAACCGCAUGGUUCAAAAGUGAAAGACGGUCUUGCUGUCACUUAUAGAUGGAUCCGCGCUGCAUUAGCUAGUUGGUAAGGUAACGGCUUACCAAGGCAACGAUGCAUAGCCGACCUGAGAGGGUGAUCGGCCACACUGGAACUGAGACACGGUCCAGACUCCUACGGGAGGCAGCAGUAGGGAAUCUUCCGCAAUGGGCGAAAGCCUGACGGAGCAACGCCGCGUGAGUGAUGAAGGUCUUCGGAUCGUAAAACUCUGUUAUUAGGGAAGAACAUAUGUGUAAGUAACUGUGCACAUCUUGACGGUACCUAAUCAGAAAGCCACGGCUAACUACGUGCCAGCAGCCGCGGUAAUACGUAGGUGGCAAGCGUUAUCCGGAAUUAUUGGGCGUAAAGCGCGCGUAGGCGGUUUUUUAAGUCUGAUGUGAAAGCCCACGGCUCAACCGUGGAGGGUCAUUGGAAACUGGAAAACUUGAGUGCAGAAGAGGAAAGUGGAAUUCCAUGUGUAGCGGUGAAAUGCGCAGAGAUAUGGAGGAACACCAGUGGCGAAGGCGACUUUCUNGGUCUGUAACUGACGCUGAUGUGCGAAAGCGUGGGGAUCAAACAGGAUUA
rnacentral:rRNA from 1 species